GGACAUUGGCUCGAGAGAUGAAGAUUGGCAGGAGUGGAAACUCCAGGCUCACUGAACUCUGUAUCUGUGGUCUCCAGUUGUGCCGAGUGCUCCCCAGUGUCUGUAAGUAGUAAAAUCACUUACACUUUCACGUUGUGGUUGUAUCACUAUAGCCUCACAUGCCAUCCAGGGCCUGACAUCGAGGCUGUCCUAUGGGACCUGUGCUAGUUGAACCCCUGCUGGAUCUCUUGUUUUGGGACCUCUGCUUCUUCUGGGCACAGGAGCUUCCAGCUAACUUGAUUGAAAGAGUGAUAUGUUUCAUUGAAAACACUGGUUCAGAUGAUGUAUUCAAGGGCUUCAGCUGCCAUAACAAACACCUUAGCCUGGGUGAAUUAAAUAAUGGAAAUCAAGUUUUCACAGUUCUGUGAAUAAUGUGCUAUACUAACCACUUUAAAAUGUGCAAUCAGGUGGAAUUAACCACAUACACAGUGUUCAGUUACCAUCACCACUAUUUUUCUGGGAAAAUUUUUACCAUUUUAAACUGAAACUUUGUAUCUUUGAAACAAUAAUAACUCCCUGUAUUUUCCACCCCAGAACUUGAUCAUCUCUAUUCUGUCUCUAUGAAUUUGCCUAUUCUUGAUGUUUCAUAUAAAUGGAAUUAUAGAUAUAUGUUAUUUUGUUUCUGACAUAUGUCACUUAGCAUAAUGUUUCUAAAGUCCCUACAUGUUCCAGCGAUGUCAGAGCUUCAUUCCUCUUUAUGGCAGAUUAACAUUCCAUUGUAUGUGUCACCACAUUUGUUUGUUCAUGUGUUGAUGAACACUUGGAUUGUUUUCAUAUUUUGUCUUUUGUGAGUAAUGCUGCAAUCAACAUCCUAGGUAAGUACCUGUUUGAGUCCCUGGAUUCAAUUCUUUGGGUAUAUACCUAGGAAUGGAUGCUAUUCCGUAGGAGAAUUCUAUGAUUAGCUUCUUGAGGAGCAGCACAACUGUUUCUCCUAGUGGCUGUACGUUUUUAUAAUCUCACCAGCAAUGUAUGAGGAUUCCAAAUUCUACAUAAGGCUUUCACUUGUUAUUUUAUAUUUUAAAAGAAUGGUAGCCAUAUUUCUAGGUGUAGUGUGGUAUCUCAUUGUGGCUUUGACUUUGUAUUUUCCUAAUGACUAACGAUGUUGAGUUUCUUUUCAGGCCCCUCUUGAUGAUUUGCAUAUCUUCUUUGAAGAAAAGUCUAUUUGAGUCCUUUGGCCCAUUUAUAUAAAUUGUGUGGUUUGUCUUUUUGUUAUCGAGUUGUAGCAGUUCUUUAUAUAUUCUGGGCAUGAAACCAUUGUCUAUGUGAUUUACAACUAUUAUGUCUCAUCCUGUGUUUGGUCUUUUUAUUUUCUUGAUAAUAUCCUUUGAUGCACAAAAGGCUUGCAUCUUUAGCCCAGUUUAUCUGUUUUUCCUUUUUGUGUCUCACGCAUUUGGGUCAUACCUGAGAAUGCAUUGCACAUUUGAGGUCAUUAAGUUUUACCGCUAUGUCUUUUUCUAAGAUGUUUUUAUGGUUAUAAAUCUUAUAAUUAACUCACUGAUCCAUUUUUAGAUAAUUGUUUGAUAUGGUUGGAAGUAUGGUUUUCUAAGUUUAUUGUUUUGCAUGUGGUUAUCUAGUUGUUUCUGUACCAUUAUUUGAGAGGAUGAUUGUUUCUCCAUUAAAUUAUCUUGACACCCUUAUGCAAGAGCAAUGAACUAUGA